UACGUAGGGCGCAAGCGUUUAUCCGGAAUUAUUGGGCGUAAAGAGCUCGUAGGCGGUCUGUCGCGUCGGCUGUGAAAUCCCGGAGCUCAACUCCGGGUCUGCAGUCGAUACGGGCAAACUGGAGUACUGCAGGGGAGACUGGAAUUCCUGGUGUAGCGGUGAAAUGCGCAGAUAUCAGGAGGAACACCGGUGGCGAAGGCGGGUCUCUGGGCAGUAACUGACGCUGAGGAGCGAAAGCGUGGGGAGCGAACAGG
rnacentral:rRNA from 1 species